CCUACGGGAGGCAGCAGUGAGGAAUAUUGGUCAAUGGACGAGAGUCUGAACCAGCCAAGUAGCGUGAAGGAUGACUGCCCUAUGGGUUGUAAACUUCUUUUAUAUGGGAAUAAAACGUUCCACGUGUGGGAUUUUGUAUGUACCUUAUGAAUAAGGAUCGGCUAACUCCGUGCCAGCAGCCGCGGUAAUACGGAGGAUCCGAGCGUUAUCCGGAUUUAUUGGGUUUAAAGGGAGCGUAGGUGGAGUGUUAAGUCAGUUGUGAAAGUUUGCGGCUCAACCGUAAAAUUGCAGUUGAAACUGGCAGUCUUGAGUACAGUAGAGGUAGGCGGAAUUCGUGGUGUAGCGGUGAAAUGCUUAGAUAUCACGAAGAACUCCGAUUGCGAAGGCAGUUCACUGGACUGCAACUGACACUGAGGCUCGAAAGUGUGGGUAUCAAACAGGAUUAGAUACCCCAGUAGUC
rnacentral:rRNA from 1 species